rnacentral:rRNA from 1 species
GCCUACGGGGGGCAGCAGUAGGGAAUCUUCCACAAUGGACGAAAGUCUGAUGGAGCAACGCCGCGUGAGUGAAGAAGGGUUUCGGCUCGUAAAGCUCUGUUGGUAGUGAAGAAAGAUAGAGGUAGUAACUGGCCUUUAUUUGACGGUAAUUACUUAGAAAGUCACGGCUAACUACGUGCCAGCAACCGCGGUAAUACGUAGGUGGCAAGCGUUGUCCGGAUUUAUUGGGUUUAAAGGGUGCGCAGGCGGUCUGUUAAGUCCGCGGUCAAAGCCCGGGGCUCAACCCCGGCCC